rnacentral:rRNA from 1 species
AAGACCUUGCGCUUUUGGAGCGGCCGAUGCCUGAUUAGCUAGUUGGUGGGGUAAAGGCCUACCAAGGCGUCGAUCAGUAGUUGGUCUGAGAGGACGACCAGCCACACUGGGACUGAGACACGGCCCAGACUCCUACGGGAGGCAGCAGUGGGGAAUUUUGGACAAUGGGCGCAAGCCUGAUCCAGCAAUGCCGCGUGAGUGAAGAAGGCCUUCGGGUUGUAAAGCUCUUUCAGUCGAGAAGAAAAGAUUACGACUAAUAAUCGUAAUUCAUGACGGUACCGACAGAAGAAGCACCGGCUAACUACGUGCCAGCAGCCGCGGUAAUACGUAGGGUGCGAGCGUUAAUCGGAAUUACUGGGCGUAAAGGGUGCGCAGGCGGCUUUGUAAGUCAGAUGUGAAAUCCCCGGGCUUAACCUGGGAAACU